CGAACGGGUGAGUAACGCGUGAGGAACCUGCCUCAAAGAGGGGGACAACAGUUGGAAACGACUGCUAAUACCGCAUAAGCCCACGGCUCGGCAUCGAGCAGAGGGAAAAGGAGCAAUCCGCUUUGAGAUGGCCUCGCGUCCGACUAGCUAGUUGGUGAGGUAACGGCCCACCAAGGCGACGAUCGGUAGCCGGACUGGGAGGUUGAACGGCCACAUUGGGACUGAGACACGGUCCAA
rnacentral:rRNA from 1 species